UUUAAAGAGAGUUUGAUCCUGGCUCAGGACGAACGCUGGCGGCGUGCCUAAUACAUGCAAGUCGAACGAACGGAGGAAGAGCUUGCUCUUCCAAUGUUAGUGGCGGACGGGUGAGUAACACGUGGGCAACCUGCCUGUAAGUUGGGGAUAACUCCGGGAAACCGGGGCUAAUACCGAAUGAUAAAGUGUGGCGCAUGCCACGCUUUUGAAAGAUGGUU
rnacentral:rRNA from 1 species